GAAGCAGGAGAUGGGAGGAGACAAAGGAGGACAGUAAGCUGGAGCUAGGUCAUGAAAGGCCUUGAUUUCCAAACAAGGAGGGCAUGUCUUAGAGGAAAUGGAGCACCUAUGAAGUCUGCUAGGCUGCGGAGGGUCUGGAGCUAAUAGAUUAGCCUUUUUAGAAGCUUACUGGUAGCAGCAUGGAGGGUUGAUUGCAGGAGUAGGGAUGUAAGACCAAAGCAAGGAGAGCCACAGAGAUGUCACUAUGAGUCUAGGAACAGGCUGGCAUGGGCCUGCUGUGGCUGUGAAUAACAGUAGGUAUGAGGUAUAGAUGAUGGAGUGCAGACAAGUUCAGGAGGUCGAGCUGGAUCUGAAACAAAACAAUAACUCCCAGGCUUAAGAGUAAGUAGACUGUGCUCCUAGGAUUCAUGUGCUGUGGAGUAGCAGCACUGCUUCAGCCAUGACUCCACUGUGUGCAGAGGUCUCUGAAGUCCUAGAGUCCGGGGCCAGCGGACUUCUCCUAACCUUCAUCUCCUCACCCAGGUACCUCUUGCACUCUCUCUGAGAGAAGCCAGCUGCCAUCUCAUGACACAGCCCUGUGGAGAGGCUCAUGUGGCAAGGAAUUGAGGUUUCCCAACAACCACGUGAGUGAGUUUGAAAGCAGAUCCUGCCCGCCUUGAGCCAUGAGAUGACUGCAGCCCUGGCUGACACGUGGCAGCCUGUGAGAGACCCAGAGCCAGAAUCACCUAGCUAAGCUGCUCCCUGGCCCACAGAAACCAUGAAAAUCCAAGUUUCUGUUGUUUUCAGCCAUUAUGCUUUGAGGUCAUUUUUUAGGCAGCAAUAGCUGACUAACUUAGCUUCAGGACUGCUGGUGCUAAUGCAUGCUGGAAGAGCAUGAGGUGAGUUAGUGCAACAAACAUUUGAGAGCAUUCUCUAUCAUUCCUCAUAGGGAAACUUCUUAUGAGGUAAAGGAAGGCCCAGAGGAAAAGGAGGGAACUGGGCUGAAAAUGAAGGAGCUCUCCAGGAAAGGAGAGGCAGGAGGAGGAGAGGCAGUGAGGUAUGAGAGGACAUACGUGCCUCGAAUGGCAAUGGUGGGACCUGGAUAGGGUGAGCCACACCUCUGCUACAGCCAAAGCUAAUAAAGAAUGAUGUGUAAUUAUAGCAUAAGCAUGAAGGAUCAAGUCUUCAGUUCACUUACUUGUGCAAUUAAAGUUUUAAGGGCCAGUAAGCGCCCCUGAGCUGCAGCUUCAUGAAGUGGGGAUCGAUCAGCCCAGCAAUCUGAAACACAAAUCAAGCUCAAAGUCAAGGCCUGGAGACUUCUUCCUGUAACUUGUCCAUGCUGCCCACCCACUGUGAGAGGAGGUUUGGGGGAAGAGGAGGGAAGAGGAGGGAAGCAGGUAUCACGCAUCAGGCUCUCUCGUCAGCCACUUUCAGGGAGACAAGCUACUGAAUGUUAAAGUCCUUUACGGUUUGGUGGUGCGUGCCAAGAGAAGGAACAGUCAAUCUCUCUGGCUUUUGGGAGGCAAUUUUAAUAAGCAAUAGAUUUAGUUCAAAAAUAUAGUGCUCAGUGCUUGAAUCCGAUAGCUCUAUGUAAGGCAAAAUGAAGGGCCAAGAAAGUCAAUGAGCCUCCACAUUUUUAUCCUUCCCCUGCCUUCCACCUUCAUCCACACCCCAAAGACUCAACAGCCUGUGUAUUAUGAAGGAGACUCUAAGGCAGGGGUGUCCAAUCUUUUGGUUUCCCUGGGCCGCAUUGGAAGGAGUAUUGUCUUGGGCCACACAUGAAAUAUACUAACACUAACAAUAUCUGAUGAGCUAAAAAAUAAAAAUCACAAAAAAAUCUCGUAAGUUUUACGAAAAUUUAUGAAUUUGUGUUGGGCCACAUUCACAGCCAUCCUGGGCCACGAGUUGGACAAGCUUGCUCUGAGGGAUCAGUGAAAAUGUUUUUUUCCCCAAAUUCUCUAGGUAAUUUUAUCUGCUUCAUUUGAUAAUGAAGACAUAUCUAUUAUACUGCAGAAUGUCAUUUUUCAGACAAUUUAAUCUCCCAAAAGUUUUUCCCUAAAAGCUUUGUUGUGGGCAGCUUAGUGUGAUGACUGAGCAUGGGCCAGUGGAGCCAGACUGCUAGGGUUCAAGUCCUACCUUGAUCACUUUCUCUGCCAAAUUCAGCAAGUUACCAAAAUUACUUGAACCCCAGUUUCCUUACUGGUAAGAUGGAAAUAUAAUAAUCUGAUAUUUGUCAAGUGCAUUGGUCUCUAAGUAGGCCAAUCAAAUACAACCGCGAUGUUAAGUGCUCCGGACAUUGUAUGAUUAAUAAGUAGGCACAGUAGAGCAGUGCCAUAAGGAACAGCCUUAGAGCCGCCUUCCAGACAUAUUUUUCUUAUAAUUGCUUAUCUGCAAACAAGACUAACUAGUUUAAAUGAGCAUUUGAGAAGUAACCCCCCAUUAAACCUGCCAAAGGGCAAUCAAUUGUUUUGGAAGAAAACCUACUCCAGUUUGCAAAAUGUAGGACUUUUUCACAUUAUGGUUGUGCUUUUCAUGCACUGAAUAGAAUGUAAUAUAAUUUGGAUUUAACACAAAGGCUCCUCAACCUCUUGUGGGUGAUCCUGAUGGUGUUAAAAACUCAGGUUUCCAUACCUAUAAACUUGGUGAAACGAAAAUCCCAGCAAAAAUGGAAUUGUGUGAAUUUGAAAUAACUGAAGGCCUUAAGGAAAGAAAGAAUUUUUCCAGUGGAUGAGAAUCAGGGUUAGAAACAUUUCAAUAAGCCCUCCUCCUACACUGAAACUCAAUGUAUGAACUUCUCUCACCCUUUGGGUUCUGAAAAUGGGGGAAACUUGAAUGCACUUUACGAGGUUGGAUUGAUAUUGGAGCAAUUAGCAUGAAAAUGUGAUUUUCAAUAUAUCUAGAUAUAAAAGUAAAUUUAAAUGUAAAACAUAGAUGUGCGUAUAUACGUAUUUUUUUUUAGCAUGGUGCACUGAGAAAACCUGAACCCGGACUCCUUAGAGAAAUGUUGAUCCCAGGUCUGGGCCAGGUAAAAUACAAGAUGGGCCUUAAACAUCUUCCAAGAAAGUAAGAAAGUGCUGGCCAGGCUCACGCCUGUAAUCCCAGCACUUUGGGAAGCUGAGGCGGGCAGAUCACGAGGUUAGGAGUUCGAGACCAGCCUGGCCAGCAUGGUGAAACCCUGUCUCUGAUAAAAAUACAAAAAUUAGGGUGUGGUGGUGCACGCCUGUAGUGCCAGCUACUCAGGAGGCUGAGGCAGAAGAAUCGCUUGAACCCGGGAGGCAGAGGUUGCAGUGAGCUAAGAUUAUGCCACUGUACUCUGGCCUGGGUGACAAAAAGACACAGAUGCUGGCUUGAUGGGGCUUCCAUUGGCCAAAUAUGGGAAAACCUGAUUUCAAAAUAAACAAUAAGAGAUUAUAUCUUAUCAAAUAAAAUGGUAAUCUAGAAGUCCUCACUGAUAUAAAUGAAUAUAUAAAGACAGAGAAGAGAAAGUGCUUCCUUAUAAUAAAAUCCCAACUUAGAAAUUGAAGAAAUAAUAGAAUCAGCUUCAACUCAUCUCCCUGCAAAAUAAUGACUAACUAGAAAAGGAACAGGGAUAAUUUUAUAGAACAGAAUUGUAGACAUCACUUUGCCCAAGUGAUCAAAGUUAACAUCAGCAAAGUUAACACCAGUGAUGGAACAGAUUGUCAUCUGAUGGAAUGCGAUGAGCAACAUCAUGUGCCAUAAGAAGAAACAUAAUGAGAAGAACACACCACCGCUUCUGUGAUAUUUCUGCCCAAAAUGCAUAACCAAAAUCUGAUAAGGAGGAAACUGUGCACCAACCCAAACUGAGGGGACAUUUUACAAAAUAAUUGGAGAGACUGAGGAACAGUUCCAGAUUGAAAGGGAUGACGAAACGCGCUAUCUAAAGGCAAGACACCUGAUCCUUUUGCUAUAAAGGACAUUAUUAGGACCGUUGGCUAAACAUGAAUGGAGUCUCUGGGUGAAGAGAAGCAGGAAUUUUUUUGUACUGUUCUUGUAACUUUUCUGUCGGCUGAAAUUAUUUCCAAACAUUUUAACAAGAAAAAAAAAGAUUAGAUAGAUAGAUAGAUAGAUAGAUAGAUAGAUAGAUAGAUAGAAUCACUGGUGAUCCCAUACUCCUGAUAUGAAUGUG
rnacentral:lncRNA from 10 species